GUUACUCGGUUCAUUUUAUAGCGUUUUGGCGUUGGCAACAUAAGUAUGUACAGCCUAAACGAACUGGCGUAGCUUCCUUCUUUCAAGUUGUAGUCGCUUCUAUGAUUGUAUUUUAUGCAAUGAAUUAUAAAAAGCUACGUGAGUAUUA
rfam:Atta colombica isolate Treedump-2 unplaced genomic scaffold scaffold295, whole genome shotgun sequence.